rnacentral:sRNA from 1 species
GAAGGAUCAUUACCGAGUUCAUGCCCUNUCGGGUAGACCUCCCACCCUUUGUAUACCUUACCUUUUGUCUGCUUUGGCGGGCGCGCCUANCUACUGGCUAUCGCGCUGGUAAGUGCCCGCCAGAGGACCCCAAACCCAAACCCAUUUAUAGUGUCGUCUGAGCAAAAGUUUAAUAUUUAAAACUUUCAACAACGGAUCUCUUGGCUCUGGCAUCGAUGAAGAACGCAGCGAAAUGCGAUAAGUAAUGUGAAUUGCAGAAUUCAGUGAAUCAUCGAAUCUUUGAACGCACAUUGCGCCCCUUGGUAUUCCGAGGGGCAUGCCUAUUCGAGCGUCAUUAUCACCCCUCAAGCUCCGGCUUGGNGUUGAGGCCUGCUGUAAAGGCACCCUCUNAAAUCAGUGGCAGUGCCNUCAGGCUCUAAGCGUAGUAAAUCCAUCGCUAUAGACCCGGGCGGACGCUCGCCAGAACACCCCCAUUUUUAAUGAUUGACCUCGGAUUAGGUAGGGAUACCCGCUGAACUUAA